GAAGUACUUUCUUUGUUUCGAAUUACUUGUCUUAGAUUUGUCUAGAUACAGAAGUAUUUAAUACUAAAAUGAGUCUAGAUACAUCCGUAUGUAGAUAAAUUCAAGACAAGUAAUUCGGUACGGAAGGAAUAGAUC
rfam:Triticum aestivum genome assembly, contig: Triticum_aestivum_CS42_TGACv1_scaffold_211147_3AS